rnacentral:tRNA from 1 species
GCCUGAGUGGCUGAGUUUGGUUAAGCGUCUGAUUUAGGCUCAGAUUAUGAUCUCAAGGUUCGUGGGCUCAAGCCCCGCAUCGGGCU